GAUGAACGCUGGCGGCGUGCCUAAUACAUGCAAGUAGAACGCUGAAGCUUGGUGCUUGCACCGAGCGGAUGAGUUGCGAACGGGUGAGUAACGCGUAGGUAACCUGCCUGGUAGCGGGGGAUAACUAUUGGAAACGAUAGCUAAUACCGCAUAACAGUAGAUAUUGCAUGAUAUCUGCUUGAAAGGUGCAAAUGCAUCACUACCAGAUGGACCUGCGUUGUAUUAGCUAGUUGGUGAGGUAACGGCUCACCAAGGCGACGAUACAUAGCCGACCUGAGAGGGUGGUCGGCCACACUGGGAACGGGACACGGCCCAGGGUCCUACGGGAGGCAGCAGUAAGGAAUCUUCGGCAAUGGGGGGAACCCUGAACGAGCAACGCCGCGUGAGUGAAGAAGGUUUUCGGAUCGUAAAGCUCUGUUGUAAGAGAAGAACGAGUGUGAGAGUGGAAAGUUCACACUGUGACGGUAUCUUACCAGAAAGGGACGGCUAACUACGUG
rnacentral:rRNA from 1 species